rnacentral:rRNA from 1 species
UACGUAGGGGGCAAGCGUUGUCCGGAAUCAUUGGGCGUAAAGAGCGUGUAGGCGGCCCGAUAAGUCCGCUGUGAAAGUCCAGGGCUCAACCCUGGGAUGCCGGUGGAUACUGUCGGGCUCGAGUCCGGAAGAGGAGUGUGGAAUUCCUGGUGUAGCGGUGAAAUGCGCAGAUAUCAGGAGGAACACCGAUGGCGAAGGCAGGUCUCUGGGCUGACACUGACGCUCACGCACGAAAGCGUGGGGAGCAAACAGG